CAGUAGCCACGGUAAUACGUAGGUGGCAAGCGUUGUCCGGAAUUAUUGGGCGUAAAGGGCUCGCAGGCGGUUUCUUAAGUCUGAUGUGAAAGCCCCCGGCUCAACCGGGGAGGGUCAUUGGAAACUGGGAAACUUGAGUGCAGAAGAGGAGAGUGGAAUUCCACGUGUAGCGGUGAAAUGCGUAGAGAUAUGGAGGAACACCAGUGGCGAAGGCGACUCUCUGGUCUGUAACUGACGCUGAGGAGCGAAAGCGUGGGGAGCGAACAGGAUUAGAGACCCCUGUAGUCCCUGUCUCUUAUAC
rnacentral:rRNA from 1 species